rnacentral:rRNA from 1 species
UACGUAGGCGGAAAAUUAAGUCAGUAGUGAAAUCCUGCAGCUUAACUGUAGAACUGUUAUUGAUACUGGUUUUCUUGAAUAUAGUUGAAGUAGGCGGAAUGUGUAAUGUAGCGGUGAAAUGCUUAGAUAUUACACAGAACACCGAUUGCGAAGGCAACUUACUAAGCUAUGAUUGACGCUGAGGUACGAAAGCGUGGGGAGCGAACAGGAUUAGAUACCCUGGUAGUCC